rnacentral:tRNA from 1 species
CGGGGUGUAGCUCAGCCUGGUAGAGCGCCUGCUUUGGGAGCAGGAAGCCGGAGGUUCAAAUCCUCUCGCCCCGACCA